UUUUUAAAUAAAGCGCCAGAACUAAUCUGAUCGGAAUCUAAGAUUAGUUGACGAGGUGGAGGUUAUCGAAUCUUCGGCGGAUGCCUCCCGGCUGGGACACACAGUCGAAUUGUCUUUCUCAAAACAUCGAGGCGACUCAGAUGGACAAAAGAAAGAUGAUGUGCACAU
rnacentral:ncRNA from 2 species